GGACGAACCGCACAAACGUUAUUCGGAAUCACUGGGCUUAAAGGGUGCGUAGGCGGUCAUGCAAGUUGGGUGUGAAAUCCCUCGGCUCAACCGAGGAAUUGCGCUCAAAACUGCAUGGCUUGAGGGAGAUAGAGGUGAGCGGAACUCAGGGUGGAGCGGUGAAAUGCGUUGAUAUCCUGAGGAACACCAGUUGCGAAUGCGGCUCACUGGGUCUCUUCUGACGCUGAGGCACGAAAGGCAGGGGAGCGAACGGGAUUAGAUACCCCGGUAGUCCUGGCUGUAAACGUUGAGCACUUGGUCGGAGUAUCUUCCAUAGUUUUCCGGCCGUAGCGAAAGUGAUAAGUGCUCCGCCUGGGGAGUAUGGUCGCAAGGCUGAA
rnacentral:rRNA from 1 species